rnacentral:lncRNA from 1 species
AUCUUUUUUGUGCUCUUCCGAUCUUUGGUUUAAGGUUCUUGUCGUCACAUCUACUUAUGUUGCCUCUUGGUUUGUGGUGCUAUACUUAACUUGUGAGGUGUGUGAGACUUGCCUAUUGUCGCCAUCUUGAUUUGACAUUGUUGCCUCGUUAAACUCCCAGCUUGAACUUUUUUUUUGUUCUAUUAAUUUUGUUCUUACCAAGGAAUAAUCAGUUUAUUACUAUUAUGUUAUGUAUUUUAUUAAUUUUUGGACUCAUAAUUAACAUCAAUUGAUUUUAUUUUUUUCUAAUGUAAUUACAAAUAUGUAAAUCAGUUAAGCCGGCAAUACAUAAAAGGUGUCGCUAGAGUAUGGAAGGUAGAGCCUCUACUGUUGAUGCGCAGCUGGCGUGGUGGUCCCGACUGUGGUGUCUUCGUCUUGAUUGUGGUGCCUUGAAAAGGUAGUGUACCUUGUGGAAAGUGUGGUUCAUCGAACUGUGCCGCUGGACUAUAGACGUUUGAACAACAGAACUUUGUUGGUGGAGGUUCUCUGUAAAGUGGAGACUUUUUUUUAUGUUAUUAUUUAUACAAGUUGUAUUUACUAAUUUUAUAGUUAUAUUAAAAGGAAGUUCCUACCUUACAUGUUUUAUGGAGUUUUUGGAUGAUGCAGUUCAGUCGCUUUUUCGUUGGCUACUACAACAUGAAGUGCAGAUAAAGAUUACCGUCCAACAAAAGGAGCGGUCAGAGGGGGCGCGGGGUCCGGACCUAAGUAGAGGUAGGGGUGAUACUGCCUACCCUACAAACUGGGACUUUGUAGAUUCCUGAUCUUUUGUGGUGUUCCCAUGUGUCUUUCUCAUUGCAGAGCUUACUAAAAAGCAUUGGUACUAUACGAAAAUGAUUGCAGCGCAGAGGUGGGAAGGUAACAUAAGUUUGAUCAGAU